AAGAAAUAUAGAUUAAUACCGGCGACAACUUUAGGGGCGCCUUCAAAAUUGUCGCCAGUAAAACCCUAUCCGUGUCCAACUUUUUAGAAUUACUCCCUGACCAUUGAUUUGAAAGCAAUCCGACGGUCCAGCUUUUAUCAUCCCUUAAAGUGAAUAAAACCCUUGGCGGGCAGCCAUUCUCCCAUUUCCCCCCCAAAUCGUUCCGCCUGCCUCCCCCAAACCCCACGAAGCCACCACCACUAGAACAAUCUGCAGUUAACCAGCCACCACCACCCUCCGGAUACAGCUCGCCAACACCAGAACCUGCACUCACCUCCUCGGUGCUCCACAGCCGCUGCUGCACCUACAGGUGUGGAUUGUGUGCAAUUGUAGGUAUACGGUGGUUGGCUUGAGGUAUCACCGUCAAAUAUUUGGUGGAGGCUGAAGUGGCAGUCGAGUGAGAGGAGGGAUUACGUCGCUUAACCUGGUUACAUGGCUUGACACUUGAGCUUUAAUGGUUGACAUGGAUCUGCUAUCUCAGAUAGUAGAACCUAAGUUAAUUGGAUUAAAGUUUGCAGCCAACGUGGGGGAGUGAUGGUGAGAUCCGCCGUUUAUGAAAGUGGGUUUGUUCCGAAUUUAUCAAAUGCGAGAGGAUUUGGUGAUUUGCUAGGAAGUCAAAUGCGAGACAUAUGAAAAGAUCUUUCCUUUCAAGAACAUUUGUGCUAGCAGAAAGGUAAUCUAUAUCAGGGUACACUCAACGGAAGAUGGGGCAUGGCUGGGUCUGAAUGAAGAGAGGCCAGAAACUACCAUCUUCCGACAAGUUAAGCCGCG
rnacentral:lncRNA from 1 species